rnacentral:lncRNA from 1 species
ACCUUGCACAGUCUGGCAGUUUCUUUGGGAAUUCUUGUCAGUUCACAGCCUCUAGGCUUCCUAGGUACCCCACAGAUCUCACCACAUCUCCCUUGUCCCAUCAGGUGAGAAGCCCUGGCCUCCCUGGGCCCCAGCACAGUGCUGGGGACACACUGGGACACUGAUAGCUGAUCCAGCCUGGCCAGGACUCAGGAAGGGCUUUCUCAAGUGGGGUUACCUUCAGCGAGCAGACCCAACAGACAUGAGCCUGUCAGAUCUAGGGCUGAGCAGAGGUUUCCAAGUGAGGGAGGAAACCGGCUUGGCCUCAUGCACCCUCUGGGGUGGAGGACAGGCUGACCUUUUGGACGACCUCUUGGGCUGCUGAGUGGGAAAGGCUAGAGAGGCUGGGAAACACAAGAGGCUGGGUAGACAAGCUGGUGUCAGGCCCAUGUGGGCAGCAGUGGAACACGCCUCCACAGCAACAGGCACCUCAAGUUCUGCCAGUCCUUUCUCCUCUGCCCUUCAGCCUAUGUGUUUGCUGCAAGGUCCCUCCUCUCCCUAUGGGCCUCCUCUUUACAGGAUCAUCCUUGCCUGCAUCGGCCUCUCAGGGAUGGGGGAGGUGGGCUUUCUUCUUGCUCAAUAAAGACUUCCUGAUUG